UACGUAGGGGGCAAGCGUUGUCCGGAAUUAUUGGGCGUAAAGCGCGCGCAGGCGGUCAUUUAAGUCUGGUGUUUAAGGCCAAGGCUCAACCUUGGUUCGCACUGGAAACUGGGUGACUUGAGUGCAGAAGAGGAGAGUGGAAUUCCACGUGUAGCGGUGAAAUGCGUAGAUAUGUGGAGGAACACCAGUGGCGAAGGCGACUCUCUGGGCUGUAACUGACGCUGAGGCGCGAAAGCGUGGGGAGCAAACAGG
rnacentral:rRNA from 1 species